rnacentral:rRNA from 1 species
AUUGAACGCUGGCGGCAUGCUUUACACAUGCAAGUCGAACGGUAACAGGGUGCUUGCACCGCUGACGAGUGGCGAACGGGUGAGUAAUACAUCGGAAUGUACCCAGUAAUGGGGGAUAACGCUUCGAAAGGAGUGCUAAUACCGCAUACGCCCUGAGGGGGAAAGUGGGGGACCGCAAGGCCUCACGUUAUUGGAGCAGCCGAUGGCUGAUUAGCUAGUUGGUGAGGUAAAGGCUCACCAAGGCGACGAUCAGUAGCGGGUCUUAGAGGACGAUCCGCCACACUGGAACUGAGACACGGUCCAGACGCCUACGGGAGGCAGCAGUGGGGAAUUCUGGACAAUGGGCGCAAGCCUGAUCCAGCAAUGCCGCGUGCAGGAAGAAGGCCUUCGGGUUGUAAACUGCUUUUGUACGGAACGAAACGGUCCUGGUUAAUACCUGGGGCUAAUGACGGUACCGUAAGAAUAAGCACCGGCUAACUACGUGCCAGCCGCCGCCGUAACAC